rnacentral:rRNA from 1 species
AAAGGAAUUGACGGGGGCCCGCACAAGCGGUGGAGCAUGUGGUUUAAUUCGACGCAACGCGAGAAACCUUACCUGGGUUUGACAUCCGGAGAACCCGCCAGAGAUGGUGGGGUGCCGUAAGGAACUCCGAGACAGGUGCUGCAUGGCUGUCGUCAGCUCGUGUCGUGAGAUGUUCGGUUAAGUCCGGCAACGAGCGCAACCCCUGCCAUUAGUUGCUAACAUUCAGUUGAGCACUCUAAUGGGACCGCCGGCGUCAAGCCGGAGGAAGGUGGGGAUGACGUCAAGUCCUCAUGGCCCUUAUAUCCAGGGCGACACACGUGCUACAAUGGACAAUACAAAGGGUUGCCAACCCGCGAGGGGGAGCUAAUCCCACAAAAUUGUCCUCAGUUCGGAUUGGAGUCUGCAACUCGACUCCAUGAAGCUGGAAUCGCUAGUAAUCGUGGAUCAGCCACGCCACGGUGAAUACGUUCCCGGGCCUUGUACACACCGCCCGU